rnacentral:lncRNA from 1 species
UGCCUUCACAAUGGAACAUGUUUUGAUCUUGUCAACAGCUUCUUUUGUGGUUGUGUCCACGGCUACAGUAGUGAUCAGUGCGAAAUAGAUAUCGAUGACUGCUUACAUGGUCCUUGUUUGAACGGAGGAAAUUGUACUGACAAACUUGGCUCAUUCAGUUGUACAUGCCCAAAAGGAUUUACUGGAGAAAUCUGCCAAACAGGCAUAGAUCCAUGCAGAUCUACACCAUGUAAGAACAAUGGAAUAUGUGUGAGUCGGAAUGGUACAUAUUACACGUGCACGUGUGUAGAUGGAUGGGAAGGGGUAAACUGUACAUACAGAC